CAUGAAAUUUACCGUGAAUGCAGUUUUUACUUUCUUUUUUAUUCACUUCCCCUGAGGAGGCGGAUUUUCUGUGUAAAAACGAAAGUGAAAAUUCAAAGCCUCCCACCACCGGGAGGCUUUUUUGUU
rfam:Shewanella amazonensis SB2B, complete genome.